UGUCAGUAUUUUUUUAAAUUGGUAUCAGAGCCAUUGUUCAUUAUGAUAUGAUUUCUUAUGUGUUUAGAUCUGAUUAUAUGUUAUUUAUAUUAGAUCUAAAUAUAUUUUAUUUUUAGAUCUAAUUUUUGAUCAGCUCUAUACAUAUUAGAUUAGAUGAUUUGAGUAGCAAAGUACUCAGAUUGGGUAAUCAUCAGGCCGUC
rnacentral:lncRNA from 1 species